CCUAAACUGAAAUAAUAAAAAGGCAACUAACAGAUGGUUUGGAGUUACAUUAUAUUACUGUGCAUUUUACAGCAAAAAUAUUCAUUAAUAAUGCAAGGAAAAAACAAAACUGGCUAAAUAAAUAAAUAAAUAAAUAAAUAAAUAAAUCAAGCUAAAUUAAGGUAAUAUAGCGCUAUAAUAAACCCAAAUAAUUAUUCAUAUAUCAUUAUUCCACUAUUACAGAGCAAAAAGGUCAAUAUAGUUAUUAAUAGGAUACAUUACAGCACUGUAUAUAUAAUAAUAUAUACAACAAUAACUAUAUAUAAUAUGAAAUCUAUAACGUGAGGUGAACCCUUUUAACCCUCAAGUGUGUGCCAACUGACUGUCGCGAAAAAAGCUUUUUCAAAGGGAAAAAAGUGACGUACAAUUUCAAUCAUUAAGACCGCGAAGCGAAUCAAAUCCGGCGGAUUUACAGACGCCGCGGUCGGCGCGGUGUCUGUCGUACGCUUGUAUUUAAGAUCAUAAAUAGACGGACAGAACGCCAGGCCACGUUCUCCGAGCUUCUCCGAGCGAGAACGUGGAUUAAGCGGGUCAAGAGUUCAGCGUCGGGGUUCGGAUUUCUCCAGAGAGCCGACGUCCUGCUUCAUCGGUUACUCUUAAUUCCUUUUCAUUUGGUUUAUGUAAAUCUCGGGGAAACGCAUUACGUCUCGCAGCCUCGUUUAUUAAACCACAAAAGACACGAAGUUGUUCAUCAGAGUUUGUCGCAAACCUGUUCUCAUUUAGACUGAGCGAUGUGUGUGUGUGUGUGUGUGUGUGUGUGUGUGUGUGGUUUCUUCUGCCCGAACAUCCAGCAGGGAUAUGCUCAUCUGGAGACGAACUCUAAUGAGGCAAAUAAUGAUUUGUGUCUUCCAACGAGAUCCUCCAGUGAAGGAGUAAACGGAUUACGUAAAUACAAUAAAUACAGAUAAUCGUACAAUUCCCUUCGCCGUGGCUUAAUUACCCCAAACCGACGCCAUGCACUUUAUUUAUUUUGAUUCAGUAAUGGCAUUGCAAUCAAUUAGGCCGUAAUGCUGCCAGCUGCUUUCUGCGUGUGUGUGUGUGUGUGUGUGUGUGUGUGUGCAGCUGUUUAGCUGAACUGAACCACAUUAACCGUUAUUAAUGGAUAAAUGAUUUCCCCUCUCUCUGAACGCAUACGUGAGUAAGUGUGUGUGUGUAGACGUGUGUGUGUUGUGUUCUGAUUUGGAUCAGAUACGAAGGCGCAGGAGAUGCGGUCGUGGUACGGGUUAAAGGGAGUGAUGGGGAUUUUAAAGAAAAGCUGAAUUUCAGCCGGUGAUGUUUCUCAUUCUGUAAAAACUUUAUUGACUCGUGUCUGUUUCCCGAAGAGAGAGUCGGCACCGUCGAACACCGCGUUUAGACUUUUUCACGCUCGGUUGAAGUUAUAAAGAACGAAAGGCCCAGAUCCGGCCCAGAUCCGGCCCACGCCUGACACGUUCAUCCGGCCCACAUACCGCGUGGAAUGAUGACACUUGGGCGGUCCGCUCCGGGUUGCCAGAUUUGGGCCAGAAGCAAGCCGUAGCAAUGCCGCAUGCGCAACACUUUUUGCAAAGGUGGCCCACAUUUGUUUUGUGAUAUUUGGGCCAUAUUCACUAUUCCCCACACGGGCCGCUUUAGGGUCACGUCCAGAUCACACACUGCCGUGAGCGCCGCAUCGCUGCCUAAAAAGAGAAACGCUUGUGAUUCAGGAUAUUUGGGCCAUAUUUGCUUAUUUUUGUCCGAGCCAAAAGAAGGCCAGCAGCACUGCCUGAAGUGGCCCACAUCCGCAUGCCAUCUGGGCGUGGCCAAGCUAAUCUAACACAUGAUUGGGUGGUAGUUACACCCAUCGACUCGGACACACAAGUAACAAACAAGCCAUCAAUUUGCUAGUGAGUAAUUCUUGUAGACGUUAUAAAGUCCGUACGGGAUUUCACCAAGUUUAUUUUGUGAUCGGCCGACCGAAGACGCUCGCUUCUGCAAAGACUUUUUCGCAGCGAUGUUAGUUGGUAAACGAGACCUUUUAGCCGUACUCGUGUAGGACGCACGUGAAUCGAAGACGGCUUCGACCGAACACGUGUCGCGGCGACGUCACGUGACGCAUGACUUGACAACGGAAAUAGUUAGUUGUUGCGUAACGUGACUCGCAGCUCAGGUUCUGUCUUUGUUGCUGGUGUUUAUGCAAAAAUCCCUUAAAAACCCCAACGAGUGUCAUGUUCACGUUCUCCAUCACGGUAAAUACCUCAUGCAUUUUCAGGCAGUCUAACCACACACACACACACACACACACACACACACACACAGGCUCCCUGCGAGCGCCUUUAAAUGAAAGCAUGUUUAAUUAAUGAUGCUGAAGUUCUCCGUCACAAUUAAGAAGAUGAACGGUCAAACAAGGCACCGGAGAAAAGCCCUGACGAUGAAAAGUUUGUCUUCCUAAAGUGCUGCUGAGGAUACAGUAACCUGACACACACACAAACACACACACUUUUACUGCACUUGACACUGACAGAUAUGACAGGAGGAUUUAUAGCGGAGCUGAAACACCUCGCGUUCAGCGUGAUGUAUGUGACUAUAAAAAAUACGAAUAAAUUAAAAAUGAAAAAAAAAAAAUGCUGUCCAUCAUUUAAUAGCUUCGAGGAGAAAAUACGACUCGAGGCUUCGUCUCCAACACGCAGCUCCAUGCCGACUCUAAACAUAUAAACAAGCUUUCGUGCUUGUUCUGUGCAUGCUGUGAUCUCAUGUGUUACCCAUAAUGCACUGCGAGCAGAUCGUCGUAAUAUAGGCAGACAGCGGCGGACGUGCGUAAGACGUGAACUCACGACGUUCUGACAGGAGUGUGUAACAGCUAGUGAUUGUGAUUUAGGUUUUGGUGAACAAACCCGAGUCAGUAAUUCUUAAUAACAAAAAUACCGAUCAGUCUGGGUUAGGGUUAGCCUCGGGUUAGGAGUAGACUAGGAUUAGGAUUAGCCUAGGGUUAGGGUUAGCCUAGGGUUAGGGAUUAAAGUUAGCCUAGGGUUAGGGGUUAGGGUUAGGGUUAGCCUAGGGUUAGGGAUUAGGGUUAGGGUUAGCCUAGGGUUAGGGAUUAGGGUUAAGGGUUAGCCUAGGGUUAGGGAUUAGGGUUAGCCUAGGGUUAGGGAUUAGGGUUGUGGUUAGCCUAGGGUUAGGGUUAGCCUACUGUUAGCCCAGGGUUAAGGUUAGGGUUGGCCUAGGGUUAGGGUUACCGUAGGGUUAGGGAUUAGAGUUAACCUAGGGUUAGGGUUAGGGUUAGGGUUAAGGAUUAGGGUUAGCCUAGGGUUAGGGUUAGCCUAGGGUUAGUGAUUAGGGUUAGGGGUUAGGGUUAGCCUAAUCCAAACCCAGUCUCAUGACGUUAUUAUUAUCAUAUCGAUGCGAUGUUGUAUACGGCGCUAUCGUGUGCUAGUUAGCCUUUUAGCAAGUAAGCAGACAAUUAGCCAGCUGUGAUACGAUAGAAUAAAACGAUGAUUUAUUUUUAGCGUCAGGGUUCUGGGAGGUAAUUAAUCUGAUGACGGUUCAGGAAAAAGCUUCCUCGGUUCUCUAAACAGAGAGGAGAAGGCGAGUAAAAAUGGAGCGAGAGAGAGAGAAAGAGAUGAGAGAGACGCAAAAGGCACAGAGACAGAAAAGAAAGACAAAGAGAGAGAUAAUAAUAAUAAGAAGAAGAAGAGGCAGAUAGAGACCCAGAAGAGAAACUGAAGAGAUCGAGACAGAGAAGGAAGGAAAAGAAGAGACAGACCGAGAGUGAGACAGUCCGAAGGAGAGAGAGAGAGACAGAAACAGAAAAGUAGAGUGAGACAGAGAGAGUGAGACAGACAAGGGAAGGUGUCAAUUAAAGGAAUGAAGGCUGGUGUGUGUGUGUGUGUGUGGUGUUGACAGCUGGCUGGAGUCGAGCUGACAGCCGUCACAUUAAGCAGCUUUGGUGGCCUGCACACACGCGCACACACACACACACACACACACACACACACACACACACACACGUCUGAAAGUGGAGGCUCUGGUGCUGCAGUGAUUAGCGUUGAACCCCUGCAGCUAUCGCUAAUAACAGUUAUUAGCAUCUGUAGAGUUCUGGGAGAGUUUUUACACUCUGAUCAGGUUUAGAGUUUCAACAACCACCGAACAACCCCUGAACAUCCACUGUAUGACCACAGAAAACCCCUGUAUAACCACUGAACCAGCACACAACCACUGAACCGGCAUGGAACAUUCACAGUACAACCACAAAAAAUACUGUACAAGCACAGAAGCACCACUGAACAACCAGCGUACAGCUACAGUACAACCCCUGAACAUUCACUGUACAAACACUGAACAACCAACAUACAACUAGAGUACAACAACCGAAUAACCCCUGAACAACCCCUUAACAUUCACUGUACAACCAGCAUACAACAACACAACCACAAACUAAACAACCACAAAAAACACUGUACAACCGCUAAACAGCCGCUGAGUACUGACAGUACAGCCGCACUCUUUCUGAGACAGCGCUGUUUAAAAUAAUCUCUUUACCACAAACAGACAGGAAGUAGCUGAUGUGGUUCACUGUAAUGAUUUCUUCAGUGUUAAUUCUUUAUUGAUUGAUUUUUUUUUCCCCAUUAAUAAAUAAAUGUUUUUUCUUUGUUUUUUUUACAACAUAAAAUAACGUUCUUCAGAUAUGAAAUAAAGUAUGAUCAAACAGGUUUUUUUAGAAUGCUACACCAGCGUGUCGCUGUCGUGUUCGUACACACAGCGUAUCAGGAUGCACGCCGCGUCUCGCACAGACCCGCGUGACGAUCCGGAUCUGAUCUCAUGGUAUCUCCAGAUCGUACUGGACCUGGAGCUUUCGCUCCACAUUAUUAUUUUAAUCCCUCAUUUCAAAAAGAAAAAGACGGAGAAAGAACAAAGUCCUUUUCUGAACUUGUGGAAAAAUGUUUCAAUGUAGAGAGCCACAGAGUAUACAGUACAGAACUAUACAUAUAUAC
ensembl:lncRNA